rnacentral:misc_RNA from 1 species
AACACUGUUAACCUGCGGUACCUGCGGAGGGAUCAUUACCAAGGGAUUUUUUCCAUCUCUCCCACGUCAUGUGAAUAGUUUAGGGGAUUUAGUAGUGUGUGUGGUGUUUGUGUGGUGGGGGUGUUUUAGGUGAGUUUUGGGUUGACUGAAACAGGCCUAAGCCGCACCGCGCACACACACACACACACACACUGCUGUUAACCAAACGUAAUUCUUUUUUGAACUGAAGUCUCAGGAGAU